rnacentral:rRNA from 1 species
AGUAGUUGUCUUUAAUAAUUUUUUUAGCAACGUACCUUUUGCAUAAUGGGUCAGCUACUUAAUUUAAAUAGCGAGCUUAAUUUAUGUAAAUUAGUAGGCUUUUAAUAGUUAUUUAAAUUAGACCCGAAACCAAAUGAUCUAUCUGUUAGCAGGCUGAAGUUUUUACUGUAAAAGGUAGCGGAGGGCUGUACCCGUACAUGUUACAAUAUGUUGGGAUGACUUGCGGAUAGGGGUGAAAGGCUAAUCAAAUUUGGUUAUAGCUGGUUUCUCGCGAAAACUAUUUAGGUAGUUUGUUGAUUUAGUUUAUUAUAGGUAAAGAAA